ensembl:lncRNA
UCCACCUCCACCCUACUCUAACAGCUCCACAUCCACCCUACUCUAACAGCUCCACCUCCACCCUACUCUAAUGCAUCCACCUCCACCCUACUCUAACAGCUCCACCUCCACCCUACUCUAACGCAUGCACCUCCACCCUACUCUAACAGCUCCACCUCCACCCUUAUUCUAACAGUUCCACCUCCACCCUACUCUAACAGCUCCACCCUUAUUCUAACAGUUCCACCUCCACCCUACUCUUAACAGCUCCACCUCCACCCUUAUUCUAACAGUUCCACCUUCACCCUACACUUAACAGCUCCACCUCCACCCUUAUUCUAACAGUUCCACCUGCAACCUACUCUUAACAGCUCCACAGCGGUGUCCUCACCCUUAAUGUGGACUCACUCUAAAGGUGGACUCACCCUUAAUGUUGACUCACCUUUAAUGUGGACUCACCCUUAAUGUAGACUCACCCUUAAUGUAGACUCACCCUUAAUGUGGACUCACCCUUAAUGUGGACUCACCCUUAAUGUGGACUCACCCUUAAUGUGGACUCACCCUUAAUGUGGACUCACCCUUAAUGUGGACUCACCCUUAUUGUGGACUCACCCUUAAUGUGGACUGACCCUUAGUGUGGACUCACCCUUAGUGUGGACUCACCCUUAAUGUGGACUCACCCUUAAUGUGGACUCACCCUUAGGGUGGACUCACCCUUAGUGUGGACUCACCCUUAAUGUGGACUCACCCUUAAUGUGGACUCACCCUUAGGGUGGACUCACCCUUAGUGUGGACUCACCCUUAAUGUGGACUCACCCUUAGUGUGGACUCACCCUUAAUGUGGACUCACCCUUAGUGUGGACUCACCCUUAAUGUGGACUCACCCUUAGUGUGGACUCACCCUUAGUGUGGACUCACCGUUAUUGUGGACUCACCCUCAGGGUGGACUCACCCUUAGUGUGGACUCACCCUUAAUGUUUCUCUUCCUCCUUCUGUUUUGGCCAUCUAUCUUCUCAACUCACUUCCUGUUCCUAUUGUGUCUCUUCUCUCUCUAGUGGAGCAGGCGGUCGUCUCCACCUUCUAGCUGCCCUUUGGCCCGCCCCCCGGCUUGGCCCCACCUCCCACCUUGCCCCCAGCCCUGAGUGUUGUUGCCAUGGCGCUGGGCGGGUCUGUGUAGGAGCCUUGUAGGCGCUAGCAGGUUAUCUUUUUGUGGGGCUUGGUCUCAUCCCAGGACGUUAGGAAGAGUUUCAGCAACUUGUUUUUUCAUGAAGUUUAGACGGUUUUCAAAUAGGCAGGGGAUAUCAAUCUGUUGGAGGUGUUUUAAACUUGAUUUAGAUAGUUUUUUGUGACAUUAUUAUAUAUUACCAAGUAAGAACUCAUUGCGACACAUGUUCUUGCUGUGGGUUUGCCUUUUCACCAUAAAGACCAAUAUAAGGUUUACCUUAAGGUUCAAAUAUCUAGUUUACUACACAAGAGUUGAGGAAGUUUGUUACACUUUGUUGUUGUAGUGAUUAGUCUCUGGCUCGCCAUGAGGGGAUUAGAUCUUUAAAGAUGUAGCUCUGGAUUCUACUAUUAAUGUCUGCAAGGUCAUGGAAAUAUCUGGAUCGAGAUCUUUUGAUGAUUAGAAGAUAUGAAACAUUAUCGAUACGUUCUUAUGUUCGAAGGCCAUCAGUCGAGUGGUGGAUCUUUGAAAAUAGCCAAUCAUAUUUCCAUAAGAAGCCAAGUGUGUGAAUUGAGUUUUUGUUGACUUUUAUAUCGUGAUUUAAGUGCAGUAGAAUGUCUAAAGGCCAAACCUGUGCGUGGGUGUGUGUGAUGCGUGCGUGCGUGCGUCCCUCGUUAUUUUGUAUGAUCCAGUUAAUUUCGAGUAGGAAUUAAACUUUAGGGUUAGUUUAGUGUCUGGACGGCGACCUUCGACCCCACGGUGACCUUCAACCCCACGCCCCUUCCCGUGGACGGUGACCUUCGACCCCACGUCCCUUCCCGUGGACGGUGACCUUCGACCCCACGUCCCUUCCCGUGGACGGUGACCUUCGACCCCACGUCCCUUCCAGUGGAUGAUGACCUUCGACCCCAUGCCCUACAUGUGUAUUGUUGAACUGAUCGAUGUUUAAGACGUAUUCAAUAAAAAGUGUGAUUUAUGCUGGAAGUCUUCUUUCUGGUGGAGUCUGGUGACGGCAUUCAUACACACAGUUUUAGGGACCGGGAGCAAGUUCUCUCUAUAGAAGAGUAUGUAGGGACCGUCAGCAAGUUCUUUGCCGUCAGUUUAGUGUUUCAGGUGGAGUAGGCAAGCAGCAGAUAUCAACUGCAAUUACUUUAUCA